UACAUAGUUAUCCUUAAAUUUUCUGAAAAUUCCGAAAAUAUCCUUCGAGGGUUUAGCUUCAUUUUGUUCUGAAUCGUGAACAGUGAUUCUUCUUCCAUCUGCUUCAAUGGCGGCGUGAGCAGUAUCGUCUUCUUCUUCUUUUCAUCAGGAUUUUCAACUUAUUUCGAAAUUGAAUUUUGGAACUUGAAGCUAUUGGUAAUUCAGAAUGACAUCUAAAAAAGAUGUGAAAAGUUUAGAGAAGGAUGGAAAAGUUGUUGCAAAAUGGGGGGAUGACAGUAAAACAGAAAGUUUGCUGAAAAUUUGCAUUGAAGAAAUAGAAGCGGGUAAUAGGCCAACUACCCACUUCAGUAAAGAAGGGUGGAAGAAUAUUAUUGAAAAAUUUCAAAAGAAAACCGGAUAUGUUUAUGAUCGCACUCAACUAAAAAAUAGAUGGGAUACAUUGAAAAGAGAGUUUUCGUCAUUUGUGAAGUUAGUGGAUAAGCAAACUGGAGUAGGAUGGGAUCAUGAAAAGAAAACUAUCAUGGCUGACGAUGAUUGGUGAGCUGAAAAGAGUAAGGAGGAUCCAGAUAUUUUGAAAUGGAAACAUGGAGGACCUAAGUUUAUUGAAUUGUUAGAUAAAUGUUUCAAGGGUGCCAUAGCUACUGGAUUCGCCCUUUACAAACAAUAUGAAGAUCAAUUACCAUGUGAAGGAUCAGAAUCUGUUUUUGAAGACGGUCGUGAGAAUAACACAAUUACUGAGGAUGAAGGAGAUGCAGAUAAUUUUGAUGUUGGCAAUGAAGUACAAUCCAACCCAACACCAAGUUCUUCCAAAAAAGAGAAAGAUUUUAGGGAAAGGAGAGAAAAUCGGGGCAACAGAGAAACUUCAACGAUCUCUUGAUCGUAUACUCGAUGGGUUUGGGCCAAGAUUAAGAUAGGGUAGUUAAAACAUUUUAACAGACACAACCAAGAGGUUUAUACGA